rnacentral:sRNA from 1 species
AUAUCUCUCCGUACGGGAAGGAUGAGAAGCUUCGACUAAGGUUCGAUUCGAGCGCAGCGAGAAAGCGUUGCCGCAGGCAACGACCCGAAGGGCGAAGCGCGCA